rfam:Toxocara canis scaffold2658, whole genome shotgun sequence.
GCCUGAGUAGCGCAGUAGGAUAGCGCGUCAGUCUCAUAAUCUGAAGGUCGUGAGUUCGAGCCUCACCUCGGGCA